rnacentral:rRNA from 1 species
UACGUAGGGUGCAAGCGUUGUCCGGAAUUAUUGGGCGUAAAGGGCUCGUAGGCGGUCCGUCACGUCGGGAGUGAAAACUUGGGGCUUAACCCCAAGCCUGCUUCCGAUACGGGCGGACUAGAGGUAGGUAGGGGCAAGCGGAAUUCCUGGUGUAGCGGUGAAAUGCGCAGAUAUCAGGAGGAACACCGGUGGCGAAGGCGGCUUGCUGGGCCUUACCUGACGCUGAGAGCGAAAGCGUGGGGAGCGAACAGG